rnacentral:ncRNA from 2 species
UUUUAUCAACCGCAGAUGGAUUAAGGGAAAGGGGUGUAAUUCCCCUGCUGUCCCGCAACUGUAAUGGCCACGAAAGCCGCCGGAAAGCCACUGUCCUGAGGGAAGUCGAAGGAUGGGAAGGCGCGGCGAGUAGGUUUAAAGCCUAAGCCAGGAGACCUGUCCGUUUUGCCUCAACACU